UACGUAGGUGGCAAGCGUUGUCCGGAAUUACUGGGUGUAAAGGGAGCGCAGGCGGGAAGCCAAGUCAGCUGUGAAAACUACGGGCUUAACUUGUAGACUGCAGUUGAAACUGGUUUUCUUGAGUGAAGUAGAGGUUGGCGGAAUUCCGAGUGUAGCGGUGAAAUGCGUAGAUAUUCGGAGGAACACCGGUGGCGAAGGCGGCCAACUGGGCUUUAACUGACGCUGAGGUUCGAAAGUGUGGGGAGCAAACAGG
rnacentral:rRNA from 1 species